rnacentral:rRNA from 1 species
UACAUGGGGUGGCAAACGUUGCUCGGAAUUAUUGGGCGUAAAGCGCGCGUAGGCGGUUAUUCAAGUCGGAUGGUGAAAGCCCUCGGCUUAACUGAGGAAGUGCACCCGAAACUGAGUAGCUAGAGUACCAAAGGAGGGUCGCGGAAUUCCCGGUGUAGAGGUGAAAUUCGAUAGAUAUCGGGAGGAACACCGGUGGGCGAAGGCGGCGACCUGGGUGGAUACUGACGCUGAGCGCGAAAGCGUGGGGAGCAAACAGG